UACGUAGGUCCCGAGCGUUGUCCGGAUUUAUUGGGCGUAAAGCGAGCGCAGGUGGUUUAUUAAGUCUGGUGUAAAAGGCAGUGGCUCAACCAUUGUAUGCAUUGGAAACUGGUAGACUUGAGUGCAGGAGAGGAGAGUGGAAUUCCAUGUGUAGCUGUGAAAUGCGUAGAUAUAUGGAGGAACACCGGUGGCGAAAGCGGCUCUCUGGCCUGUAACUGACACUGAGGCUCGAAAGCGUGGGGAGCAAACAGG
rnacentral:rRNA from 1 species